CGGGGAGCGUUCGCGCUUCCGCCGGCGACCGGCGCACGGGUGAGUAACACGUAUGGAACCUGCCCGCAGCAGGGGGAUAAUCGGGGGAAACCCCGUCUAAUACCGCGUAACGACCCGGAGGGGCAUCCCUUCGGGUCCAAAGGUUUACCGGCUGCGGAUGGCCAUGCGUCGCAUUAGCUGGUUGGCGGGGUAACGGCCCACCAAGGCGACGAUGCGUAGGGGUUCUGAGAGGAAGGUCCCCCACACUGGUACUGAGACACGGACCAGACUCCUACGGAAGGCAGCAG
rnacentral:rRNA from 1 species